rnacentral:rRNA from 1 species
CAACUUUCAACAACGGAUCUCUUGGUUCUGGCAUCGAUGAAGAACGCAGCGAAAUGCGAUAAGUAGUGUGAAUUGCAGAAUUCAGUGAAUCAUCGAAUCUUUGAACGCACAUUGCGCCCUUUGGUAUUCCAAAGGACAUGCCUGUUCGAGCGUCAUUU